ACCUAUACAACUUUCAGCAACGGAUCUCUUGGCUCUCGCAUCGAUGAAGAACGCAGCGAAAUGCGAUAAGUAAUGUGAAUUGCAGAAUUCAGUGAAUCAUCGAAUCUUUGAACGCACCUUGCGCUCCUUGGUAUUCCGAGGAGCAUGCCUGUUUGAGUGUCAUUAAUUUCUCAACCUCACCCACUU
rnacentral:rRNA from 1 species